CCUGAACAGAUGGCCCUCUGCAGAUCUUUUGAGCAUGAAUGACUCAAGAUUAAAAGGGGAGAUGGUGAAAGUGUUUGCCGCAGAGUGCCAGGGCUAUAUGACACAGACCGUACAACCCCGCCCCCUCAUCAACCCCUCACUCCCAGUCCUUUCUGUCCUCCUCUGAGUAUGCUUGUCCCCUCCUCCCAAUUCAUAAAUCAGGUAUAAAGGGAAUGGGGUGUGAGGGUCUCUGUACUUACACAUAGCUUGGUGUAAGUUGACAGAGCAGAUAUAUUCCCGCACAUAGACCAUGAGAGCAACCCUGGUGUAGGACUGUUUAUUCAUGGGCAGUCACAGCUGGGAGGCUGUGCUGUUUUGGGACUGAGGCUGAUGUGGCCUUGCUAGUGGGCCUCAUCUUCUUUGGAGACACACACUGGCUCAUAUCUGAUCCCCUGGUGGAUCUCCACUCCCUGAGGACUCAGUCUCAUACCUGCAGUGUUUCUGGAGAUGUUUCAACAAAGUCAGGGCUUAAUUGAUGCCUGGUGAUAAAUUUGUUCCCUUAAGAAUCCACCUAAGCCCUAAUUACCAAGAUGCUCUCAACAUCUCUGCUGCCUAAUGCCUAAAAACACAUCAUUUGAGCAUUUACUUCUUUUUAUGGAUCAGGUUGCCGUCUCCCUGGAGGAAUCAGGACUGGUUCUGGAGGAACCCAAUCCUCUUUGAACUGCACCCAUGGGUAUUCUGGGGAACAUAUUUCUGACUGUGAAUGGUUUUCUUGGUGUGUCUGUAAACUGAUAUUGGGCUUUCAGAUCAAUAUAAUGGGAUCCAAUCAGCAUUUAUCAAUGAGCCAGUGAUCUUACUGACCUGGUAAUACCUUAAGCCUUUUGUACAGGUGAGUCGACUGAGGUUCCAGGGCAGGAUCCUGAACUCUCCCAAUCCACCUCCACUUUGCUAUUUGAAGCCCCACCUUUGGGGCUGUAUGUUUCCAAACUAGGACAAUACCCCUGACACCCAGACCAUGCAUGUUCUCUAACCUGGAAGGUCCUGAAUGGGCAAUCACAUUAACCACAUAGAUUUUAGUGUCAUCCUUAAUUUCUGCCCUGCUGCUCCACCCUGGGACCAUUCACUUAUCUCUUCACCCUUGUUCCUGGCUGCACUAGGGCUAGAUCUGUAGAGCCAAGUAGCUGGGCCCAUAAAUGGAAUGAUGGUGACCUGAGAGGCUGCAGAGGCCUCACCCUGACUGGAUGUGUGGAGGUUCCUGCUUGGUGGGGAGCCCAAUACACAUGACACAGAAUGGUUUAUUUUAAAAUACAGGGCUCCCUUCCCCAGUGGUGUUUCCCAAAGUGUACUGCUUCAUCUGGGCCACUAAAGUGGUACAUUUCAGUGCAGGGAGGUUUCAUCCAGCCUGUUCCUUCUCAGUGUCCCCAGUGUCUGUGAUUCUCCCAGAAGGGGCUGUUUCAACCUAUUUCUUUUAAAAGUUGUUUUUAUUGGUGCAUUAUCAUUAUACAUAAUAGUGGGGUUCCUUUGACCUAGUCAUACGUGCGUGGAAUAUAAGUUGCUCCAUUUCAGUCCCUGGUGCUAAUUUUAGGCUGUUUCUAAUGAGUCUUUUCAUCUCUAUCCCUCACCCCACCCCGGACAGUACAUCCAAUGGGUGUUGCCUUUGUGACCCUGACACUGCUCAGUGGACGAUUCCAUUCCCAUCUCACUUCUCCUAAUAUUGUCUAAUGGGCCACGCCAGUUGCAUAUUCCUGUUCUUGUAGAGUGCCUAGUGUAGAGUCCAGCCUCCUAGCUGGAGCCCCUGCCCCGGGAGUGGUACUUAGGAUGUCACGAAUGGGACAUUCCUUCCCCUCCCCACUGACAGAACUGUGAAUCAACAAGACAGCUGCAGGUCUCUGUGUCUGCAUCGAUCAUUAAAUUCUACCACCUCCCCCUCAGUGGAGGGAGACUGUUGUUCACUAUAUUCUUUGCUUUCUCCCCAGCACCUAGAACAGUGUCAGGCACAGAAUAGGCCCUCCAUUGAUGUUGGUAAGGAAAGCAUCCUUUGACCUGGCAAUUCCAUGGCCAACGGUAUGUCCUGGGAAUGCAUAGUUUGUCCUGAUCACAGUGCCUUUCUCCAUGGCGUGGUAUUAAUGGAGAGUAGCAAGAAGGAGAUGCUCAUACCUACCCAGUGAGUGUGUUUUCAUGCACGUGCAAAUGUGUGUGUGUGUGUGUGUGUUUGUUAACGUGUAUAUGUGCACACUUGGGGGCAUGUGUGUGUGCAUGCAUGUAUGUACACAGAUCUCACAUGCAUGGACUAGAAAACUUACAAUUAGUGUCAAUUAUACUCCCCAAGGAGAUCUUAUGACUCGUUGCAAUCCCUAUCAAAAUUCUAAUUACUUAUCUCCCUAAAUUAACAAAAUGGUGCUAUAAUUCUAAUGAAAUGAAAGUCUCCUGCAAAGAGGAUGUAGAGAAAAAGGAACACUUUUACACUGUUGGUGGGAUUGUAAAUUAGUGCGACUACUAUGGAAAUCACAGUGGCGGGCCCUGAAAAGACUAGGCAUGGAAAUCCCGUAUGACCCAAGUAUAUCCCUCCUUGGUAUUUUUCCUGAAUUAAAAUCAUACUACAGUGGUAUGUGCAUACCCAUGUUUAUAGCAGCACAACUCACAAUAACCAAACUAUUGAACUAGCCUAGUUGUCCAAUGGUUGAAUGGGUAAAGAAAAUGUGGUAUGUGUACUCAGUGGAGUUAAUUAUUAAGCCAUAAAGAAAAGUGAAAGUAUGUCAUUUGCAGGAAAAUGGAUGGAACUAGAGACAUUAUGUUUAGCAAAGUAAGUCAAACUCCAACCAUAAAAGGAGCUAUGUUUUCUCUUAUAUGCGGAAGCUAGAGAGGAAAAAGGAAAAGAAAGGUGGAAAUGAAAGUUUGGUCUGUACAGGAAAGGCACCAAGGAGUGGGAGGUGGGGAUGGAAGGAGGGAGUGCUUGGGGAGUGAUAUUGGCCAAAGUAUAUUGUUGUGUGCAUGUACGAGUAUGUACCAUCAAAUACCACCAUUAUGUACAAUUCUAAAGCCCUAAUAAAAAUGUAGGGGAAAAAGGCUUCCACAAUAGCCAAAACAGUCUUGAAACACAACAAAGUUGCAAGAUUCACCCUCCCUGAUUUGAAAACCUACUAUAGAUUUACUGCAUUCAAGACAGUGUGGUACUGACAUAAUUUUAGAUAGUGGCAUAAAAUGGAGUUUUCUGAAAGCCGUAUUUCUGUGGUCAACUUAUUGUUGUCAAGGAUGAAAAGUCUUUUCAGUGGAUUGUCCUGGCAUAACCUGGAUGUCCAUACACAAAGGAAUGAAUUUAGACCUGUAUGUCACACUGUCUACAAUUAAAAUGAAUUACAGACCUAAAUGUAAGACUUUAAAAUUAUCGGAAGAAAACAGAGACAUAAGUCUUCAAAAACCUUGGUUUGGGCAACAAUUUACUAGAUGUGACAUGGAUGCACAAACAACCCAAGGCAAAAUAGAUAAUGUGGCAUCACCAAAAUUUGAACUUUUAUACUUCAAAGAAUACCAUCAAGAAAGUGAAACGUCAACCCAAAAUAUAAGAAAAAAGUUUUGCAAAUCAUAUGUGAUAAAGAACUUCUACCUAUAAAACACACUCACUCACCUCUCAACUCAAUAGAAAAGAAAACCCAAUUAGAAGAUGGGCAAGGAAUCUAAAUACAGUUUGUCCAGAGAAGAUAUCCAAAUGGCUGAUAAGCACAUGAAAAGGAGCUCCAUAUCAUUAGCUUCAGGGAAAUGUGUCUAUGAGUCAGUCAUGUUGAGAUAGCACUUUAUACCUGCUAGGAUGUUUUCCAAAAAACAUGUUGGUUAAGUAUGUGAAGAAAGUGAAACCCUCAUAAGAUGCUGGUUGGAAUGUAAAAUGAUGCAGUCACUUUGGAAACAGUUCCACGAAAUUAAAUACAGAGCAUCAUGUGGCCCAGAAUUCCACUUCUUGGUACAUAUCCCCCCAAAAUGAAAACUUAUGUCCCCACAAAAACUUGUGUAUGCAUGUGAAUUGGGAAGACAACCUCAGGUCUCUCUAUAUCUAUCAGUACUAAAUUAAACCACCUCCCCCUCAGUAGAAUUGUAUAUUGUUGGCUCUAUUUCUUUCUCUUUCCCUAUCACCUAGAAUAGUGUGAGGCACAAAUUAGGCCCUCCAUUGAUAUUAGUUAGAAUUCCUAUGUCCAAAAAUGUGUAUUAGGGAAGCAAUUGAAAAUAUGUACAAUGGUAUGAAGAGGACAUUACUUGUGGGGAUAAUAAGCUUAAAUAGUUAAUGAUUGUAGUCAAGUUAAGUGAGAGAUGAAAUGUUCAUAUUGUGUGAUGUAACAUCCUCUGUACUUGAACCACAUAAAAGAACUGGUUUAUCCUGGCCAUAAUGCUUUUUUUCAUGUCAUGCUUUUAAUGGGGAUUGGUCAUUAGGAGAUGCGCGCGUGCGCACACACAAACACACACACGCACACACAAACACACACACACACACACACACACACGGGAUGCUUACAAAUGUAGAAAGCAAGGCCAACAAAAUACCUAAAGUGAUUUCAGCAGUCUCCUCUGAUGAUUAUACUGAGAGAGGCAAGAUACGGACUGUUUAUUUCAUUUUUUGAUGUAGUAGAUUGUAUUUGCCAAAAAUCAUCAAAAUAUACAAGUUUACAUGUAGUUUUCCUUUUUUAACCUUUAAUGUUAUAAAGUUAUAACUCAAGUACUGUAGUAUUCAAAAGGUUGUGAGCCAUCACAGUAACCAUUUCUAGAAUGCUAUAUUCUGAAUGAUUGAUUGUCUGCACCUAAAUUCAUAUUGAAGUUUGUUCUUAAAUGAGGCAGUAUUGGGUGCGGUGGGUCCCUUAAGAGUUAUUUAGGUGAUGGGGCUGUGUUCUCAUGAAUAGACUAAUUUUUUUUUUUAAUUUUAGGAAUGGAUUUGCUAUAGAAGAAGUUGUGUGCUUUCAUCUCUGCUACCUCACCAGAAAUCAAGAAGAUGCUGGCACGAUGCUACUAGACCUCUGAGCCAUGAACCAAAGUAAACCUUUUUGUUUGUUUACAUUAUAGUCUUAGAUAUUUUGCAAUAAGGAAUGGAUUAAAACAUAGGACCCACCCCAUACUGUUAACAUCUCUUCCCCCUUCUCUAUUCCCUUGUCAUUCAUGUAAUUAUCUUCUUUUAUUUACGGAUUUGUGGAUUCUAUGCAUUUUAUGUAAAUAGAAUCGUAUACUGGUUCCUUUUGUUUCUGGCUUCUUUCAGAUAGUAUAAUGAUUUUCAGUUUUCAUCCAUCUUGAAGUAUAUAUCAGUACUUUUAUGGCUGAAAAAUAUUUCAUUAUGUGGAUAUACUACCACAUUUGGUUUAUAUAUUCAUUAGUUGAUGGACAUUUGGGGCUGCUGAUAGUCUUUGGCUAUUAUGAAUAAUGCUGCUUUGUACAUGUAUGUACAAGUUUCUGUAAACGCAUAUUUUCAUUUCUCUUUGGUAUGUACCCAGGAGUGAAAUCACUUGAUCAUGUUUAACUUUUUGAGGAAAAGCCAAACUGUUUUCUGUAACAGCUGUACCAUUUUGCAUUCCCACCAGUUUCUCCACAUCUUUCUCAACAUGUAUUACAUGUCAUUUUUUAAAAAUGGCUUUUAAUAUAUUGGAGAAUGUAUUGCCUAAUCCAAAGUCACAAUAACUUAUUCCUAUGCUCUCUUACAGGAGUUUUAUAGUUUUAGCUCUUACCCUGGGAUUUUGAUUCAUUUUUGCUGAUUUUUGUAUACAGUAGGAUGUCAGAGUUGAAAUUCAUUCUUUUGUAUGUGGAUAUCCAAUUGUCCCAGCAACAUUUCCUGAUAAUACUCUUUUCCCACUCAAUUAUCUUGGCAUCCUUGUCAAAAAUUAAGUCACUGUGUAUGUGUGGGUUUAUCUCUGGAUUCUUUUUUAAAAAAUAUUUAUUUUUUAGUUAUAGGUGGACACAAUAUCUUAUUUUACUUUAUGUGGUGCCGAGAAUCGAACCCAGUGCCUCACACAUGCUAGGCGAGUGCUCUACCUGUGAACCACAACCCCAGCCCUCUCUGGAUUCUUAAUUCUGUUCCAUUGAUCAAUAGGUCUGUCUUUAUGCCAGUGCCACACUGUCUUGAUUACUGGAGCUUAGUAAUAAUUUCUGAAGUUCAAAAGUAUAAGUCCUUCAACCUGGUUUUCUGUUUCAAGAUUACUUAACCUGCGUUGGGUUGCUGGAAUUUCCAUAUUCAUUUUAGAAUCAGCCUGUCAAUUUCUGCAAAAACUGUAGUUGGAAUUUUGAUACAGAUUACACUGAAUAUGUAUAUCAACUUUGGAAAUAUUGUCAUUUUAUUAUUCAGUUUUCCAAUCCAUGAACUCAGAUGUCUUUCCAUUUAUUUAAGUCAUCUUUAAUGUCUUUCAACAGUGCUUUGUAAUUUUCAGUGUACAACUUUUACACCUCCUUGGUUAAAUUAAUUUCCUAUGUAUUUUAUUCUUAUGAUUCUGCUGUAGCUGAAAUUGUUUUCUUAAUUAUUUGUUUGCAUUGCUCAUUGCUAGUAUAUAAAAAUACAAUUGAUUUUUGUAUAUUGGUCUUCCAUCUUGUGGCCUGAAUCUGAAGUCCUGUAUUAUACUAAAAAUAAAAUAUAGGAAUAAUACAACUGAAGUCCAGCUCAACUAAUGAAAAUAUUGAUUCAGAUACCAACACUCAUGAUGCCCUGACAGAAAAAUACAAUAAAGAAGGCAUACUACAGAAGAACAAAUUUAAGGUCAUCAGAUUUUUCAUCAGAAUCUAUGUAACCCAGAAUUUUGUUUUUUGCCAGGGAUUGAACCUAGGGCCUCAUUGUGUGCCCUACCACUGAGCUGUAUCCCCAGCCCUGUAAUUUUUAAAAUGAAGGUUAAAAAAAAGUUUUUAAAACAUCAUUGCUACCACAUAUGCCCUACAAGGGAUUGUAGGGCAUAUUUUGCGGGGAGGCCAGGGAUUGAACUCAGGGACACUCAACCAUUGAGCCAUAUCCCCAGCCUUAUUUUGUGUUUUAUUUAGAGACAGGAUCUCACUGAGUUGCUUAGCGCCUCUCCAUUGCUGAGGCAGGCUUUGAACUUCAGAUCCUCCAGAACUUCAGAUCAUCCAGCCUCAUGACCCACUGGGAUUAUAGGCGUGUGCCAUUGCACCUGGCUAAAACUGCUUCUUUUAAAGUUAUAGUACAUACAAUUUCCUUUUGAAGGAUCAACCUCUUUUACCUUUUAUUGACCUGCUUGGGACUUUAUAUGAGGUUUUAUAAACUCAAAUAAUUCUAGAUAAGUAUUUAAUAUUUUUUAAAUAAGUAUUUAAUAUUUUUUAAAUAAAUAAAUUAUUUUUAAAUAUUUAUUUAAAAAUAAAUUUUUUAAAUAAUAUUGCUAUUAUUUAAUUAUUAUUAUCUUUGAUCAGAAGGAAAUUUG
rnacentral:lncRNA from 1 species